CAGUAGCCACGGUAAUACGUAGGUGGCAAGCGUUGUCCGGAAUUAUUGGGCGUAAAGGGCUCGCAGGCGGUUUCUUAAGUCUGAUGUGAAAGCCCCCGGCUCAACCGGGGAGGGUCAUUGGAAACUGGGAAAUUUGAGUGCAGAAGAGGAGAGUGGAAUUCCACGUGUAGCGGUGAAAUGCGUAGAGAUGUGGAGGAGCACCAGUGGCGAAGGCGACUCUCUGGUCUGUAACUGACGCUGAGGAGCGAAAGCGUGGGGAGCGAACAGGAUUAGAGACCCGAGUAGUCCCUGUCUCUUAUAA
rnacentral:rRNA from 1 species